rnacentral:rRNA from 1 species
CCUACGGGCGACAGCAGUGGGGAAUAUUGCACAAUGGGGGAAACCCUGAUGCAGCGACGCCGCGUGAGUGAGGAAGUAUUUCGGUAUGUAAAGCUCUAUCAGCAGGGAAGAAAAUGACGGUACCUGAGUAAGAAGCCCCGGCUAACUACGUGCCAGCAGCCGCGGUAAUACGUAGGGGGCAAGCGUUAUCCGGAUUUACUGGGUGUAAAGGGAGCGUAGACGGCUAUUCAAGUCAGAAGUGAAAGGCCGGGGCUCAACCUUGGGACUGCUUUGGAAACUGGAUGGCUGGAGUGCAGGAGAGGGAAGCGGAAUUCCUAGUGUAGCGGUGAAAUGCGUAGAUAUUAGGAGGAACACCAGUGGCGAAGGCGGCUUACUGGACUGUAACUGACGUUGAGGCUCGAAAGCGUGGGGAGCAAACAGGAUUAGAUACCCGAGUAGUC